UAUACCGUAAAAGUGAAGAAAUUUCAGUUUAGAAUUGGAAAAUUUUGGGAGAAAGUUAAAAUUUUUGGAAAGGUAAAAUUUUGAAAAAAUAAUUCUUUCAGAUUAUAAAAUUUUUAAAAAUUCAAAAGUGAAACUAGGAUUAGAUACCCUAUUAUUAUAGAAUAAAGAGAAAUUAGGUAGUAAUGGAUGUCUUGAAACUUAAAGAAUUUGGCGGUGUUUUAAUCUAAUCAGAGGAACUUGUGUUUUAACUCGAAAUUACACGUUUUAUCUUACUUAAAUUAAGUUUGUAUAUCGUCGUAAAAAUAAAACUUUAAAGUGUAUAUUUAGGCUUAUUAAAUAAUAAAUUACAGAUCAAGGUUCAGCUAUAUUUAAGAAGACAUGAGUUACAAUACUGUAAAGUAUACGAAUCCUUUUCUGAAAGGAAAAUUUAAAGGUGGAUUUGAAAGUAAAUUAAAAUUAA
rnacentral:rRNA from 1 species